GAUCGAGUUGCGGUUUAAGUUGU
rnacentral:siRNA from 1 species